UUUUUUAAAUUUUGCAAAUUUUGUGAAAAAUAAAACAAUUUUAGAGAUUAUUACUGAAAAAAAUCUAUGUAGAUUAACUUACACUUGCAAGAAAUCUUCCUACACAAUAUCAUACAGAUGUCAACUAGCUUAAAAAAUAUUUUUUUCUCUCUCAGUAAAAGAAGGCCCACAAAAGUUUUCCAAAUGUGGAUUAGAAUAAUUCAUAUCAUCCAAAGAAUUUAUUUUUCUAAGAAAGAAAUCAACUGACAAAUAACAUUAAAUAUAUCUUCUAAUAAAGGCCCAUUUAAAAAUAAUUUUUAAAUUCAUUUUAAAAUUUAAACACUAAUUAAAAUAUAGCAUUUUAGUGGCCUACACAAAAACUAGUUGCUACAGCUUUUAUGUGGGAUAUUAAAUUUAUAUAUUUUGUGAUAGUCUAUGUAUAGCUUAUUAUAUAUAUAUUUAUGAGUUGUUUAUGAUAAAUCUGACAUUAGCAACAGCCAAGUCACCUACAUGAAAACAUCAGACUAACACCAUUCAACAGCUUCUAGCAAUUCAAAGGAGAGCACUUUCACAAAUAAAUAAAACUAAGCAGUUAGUGGCACAUGACCAGAUGACAUGAAAGUGUACUUAAUAUUAACUAUUAUAUUAGUGUCUCUUAUUAGUAUAUUCCUUGCUUUACAUACAUGGGAACACUACCAGAAUAUUAAAUAAUAAAUAGCAUUACCUUGCAGGCUAUAUAAAGAGUUUUUAGCUACCCUACAGACAAUGCUUGGAAUGAAUAAUUAUGUGGCAUUGGUUACAGCCAUCAGGCACUGAACAUUCAUUUUUUUAAGUCUCCAAAAGCAUAAGUUGCAUAUAGAGUUCCCCAAUCUACAAACAUUUAAGUGUAUUUAGUGCCCAUAAUCCUAAAAGAAAAGUAGAAUAUUUAAGGCAUCAUUCCUAAAUCUAGCUUUUACCCAUAGAAUAUUUAAGGCAUCAUUCCUAAAUCUAGCUUUUACCCUCUGGCAUAACUUUUUUUUAAAGACUAAUUUCCAAUGAUCUGAUCAAAAAAAUGCUCAUUUGAAGUAAUCAGCAUAUCUGAGGAAUAUCUGCAAAAUAGUGUGUAUUUUGUUUCCUGGUUUUAGAAACCUAUGGUCUUUUAUUAUAUUUGUAAGCAUUCUUCAAAGACAUUUAUUCCUUCACCUUAUUGUUUAGGAUUUUCCUUAUUAGCAGUAAGUAUUUGCUAAUAUUAAAAUAUCCUCAGAUAAAUUUCUUCCUUGGACUUGAAAAUAAAUAGCAAAACUCUCUCACUGUAGACAUAGGACUAGUUACCUCACACUCAUCGUGAGGCAAAACUAGUCUUCAAAGUUACCUUUUAAAUAGAGUUGAUAUUAAUAAGAGACUAGGAAAGAAGAAAUUAAAGAGAAAAAAGAAUAGCCUUUUAUUUUAACAUGUGAAAUCUUCACCAAAACCAAUUCUACCUAAUGAUAAUCACAUAUUCAUUUUUAAAAGUAUUUCUCAAAAGCACAAAUUACUAAAGCUUUCAAUAAUCCUGACUAGACAAUUCUUCUUUACCUUUUUGUCAUCUCAAAAAGACGGCCUGACAAUAAUGGUAUGACACCCUCUCAGACAAGCCUCUCGGCAUUAAUAUUUAAAUCUUACCUAUCCCUUGUGAUUGGAAUUCAGCCUCUAUUCGCAAACAAAAACUAAAUCAAUGUUCUUAGAGUUCAAACUAGAUCCCUAAACAGUUUGCCACUCUCUAUGCACAGAUAAGAUAAACUUUCUUUGACCCAAGAGAUGAAGUUGCCAUGACGAUCAGAGAGUCCACUUUCUAUAUUGAUAUUUUGCUGAUGUAACAACAAAUAGAACCAGAUCCUAGUGCCGAUAAUGGUGAUUAAUUAAUACUAAUAUUGAUCCCUACAAGCAAGAGACAAGGAUAUUAACUUGAAGCCUGAAAAGUCAAUUGUUACCUGUGGCAGAGAUACUAGGAGCUGAUUUGGAAGCAUAAUAAACAAAUGUGCUAUCUUUAUGCUAAUACCUUUAAAGAGAUAGUUCUUUCCAGAAUGCCAAAUAUUGCCAUAUCUGAGCUUAUUAAUUUAAUUGUAUUUCAGCUUUUAAAAAUGUAACCGUAUUAAAUGAUACAUACUUACCUCUUUAUCUAUGGUGAAAACACAUUCUCUGGACUGAAAUAACAGACUUUUGCUGCUAUUCAUUUGGUGAGAGAAUGAACUGAUAAUUUUACACAGUGGCAGGUGUUGAGUUAGACCGGGUUUCAAAAACAUCUGCAGUGUUUCUCUGAAAUGUCCUACUAGUCCUUUGGAAUUGGGAAGGUAACAAAGAAUCCAAGGGAAUAUGACUUAGAGGAUAAGAACUCCAAAGUUAACAUAUCCACUCAUACUUUUUAGUGAACAAAGAUUACAUUUAAGAAAGGAAGCUACUUUUGAAAAAUAUUUCUUAUUCCCAUACAAAUCUAAUGCUAUAUUCUUCACACAAUUUAGCCAAACAUCAAAAAAUUUUCUCUAAAUGGUAUCACUGUAUUUAAAACUUGAAUACACAUUAAGUUAUUUUCAAGGAAAGUUCAUCUGGGAAGGUGUUUUCUUGAAAUGUAAAAAUAAAUUACAGAAUGUAGAAUAAAUAAAAUUAGUUUAUUCACUUAAUAUCUUGUGAGGAAAAGUUACAUAUUUAAAUAGGGUGUGAUUAAAAUGCAACUGACAAGUCCAUUGUUGACUUGCCUUGGUUAUGGGGAAGAACAAAAACAUCAAUACUAGAAAUCCAUACUCUAGUCCCAAAUCCUUCAUUUUAGCUAGAGUGUUAGGUUUAAUCUUCUCCUCUCAAAACUUUUUCUAGUGGUAACAACUAAUAGUGAAAUGGCUAAUUAGACUUUCAUUUCUUUUUUAAAAAUCAUUUGAAAAAAGAGCUAAUUAGUUCUUGAAUAGCAAGGCCUCAACUAGCUGAAAUAACAUGGAUGAGAAAGUCCUUGGUGAGCUCAUGAACAAGAAAAAUGAGUUACCUUAACUGUAAUGCAAAGUUAACUUAAUGGACAUUACUAUAAAGAUAUGGAUACAUAUAGAUAUAGGCAAAACAUAGAUAUAUUGACAGAUAUAGGCUAGACAAUCGAUACAAUCAAUGACUAUCUUAAUUUAUCCCCAAAUUAUCCCCAAACAAAGCAAUGUAUAAAUCUUUGUAUUAACCCUUAAACAUAUCAUGAAAUUUUAAAUUGGCUGAACAUAAAAAUCAGGAGCAAAUCCUUUAAUUGCAUUGCCUUCUUUCACAACUUAAUAACACCAACUUAAUAUAUAGCAAGUCACAUAGUAACCAAACAGAUGCAAUUUUAGUGUUCUUAAGGUCUCUAACUGCAAUUUAUAGAAAAUUCAAACUUGUGUGUUCACCUAAGAAAUACUAAGAUCUAUAAUAUUAAACUUGAUAGUCCUUCUUACUCCAUAAUUUUACAAAUGAACUACUUUGAAAGUUACCAGAAGUUGAAAACAUACCUACUUUGUUAUUUCAAGUCAUAUCUCCAAAUUUUAGCCCUAAACUCAUACAGCAAUUAGAGAUAAACAAGUUAGUUCAUUUAUAUUUGCAUUGUUGACUCCAUUGAACUUUUAAAAACCUCACUUCAUGACUAAUGAUCUUUUACAGGUAAACUUUCUUAUGUUGUCUUUAACUCUUAACAACCAGAAUGACUGUAUUGAUCAUCUUAAGAUUUGUCUGUUUUUAAAUCCACUAAAUAAUUAUUCCUAGAUUUUUCCAGAAAAAAAAAAAAAAACCUGCAUUGGUAUUACUUCAAAUUCGUAAAUCAAGAAAUUAUUUUUAUGCUCUCUUACAAGCAAUAGGUACUCUUCUAUCUAUUUUAUUGCUAAAACAACUAUUAUACAGAAUACAGGUUCCUUUAUCGUGUGGCACGUGUAAAAACAGGUUUUCCGAAAUGUUGCUCAGUCAAAAAUGUAGAAAAUAAAAAUCUCCAAUAUGAGAAGUAUUAUAGACUAAAGAGAAGAAUUACUUUGUAUUAUAUGCAAUUAUCUCUAAAAUUCAGAAAAAAAAUAACUAAUUUGUUUCAAAACAAAAACCUGUCUUAAUAUUUGGCAGGUGAAAAAAAGGACAUUCUAACUGUGUAUAACAAUGAUCUGUGUUUUCAAAUAUAGGUAGUAUUCUCAAAAUCUUUUUUAAAAUAAAAAUAUCAAUGAUAACACAGUAGAUAAUUAACCCUAAAAUUAUAGAUUGAAUAUCAAAAGAAGAAACACUUUUAAAAGACCCAUAGCAGAACAAUGAAAAAUAGCCAUACUCAAUUAUUUGCAUAACAUAAUUUUAAGAUUAUACAAAUGACCCAACUAGAGGUUUUCAUGUGACAAAUAUUAAAUAAUAAAUUUAACAUAUAACAUUCUUAUUUUAAAACAGUAAUUGUUUUAUAAAUAAAAUAUUGACUAUAACCUACUCUUUAUAAAAAUAGCAUAGAACACUAAAAUGCCAAUGUGUAAGUUAGGAAUUCGUACGGCCUAAAAUUGUUAGAUCAUCUCAAAUAACAAAAUGGUAAUUAUUCAAUAUGAAUGGAUUCCAACUUCUGCAAAAGACCCUCUACAGAACUGCUAACAAGAUUAUUCUCGAACUAGAACAUUUUACUUUCAACAUGCAUGUUAAUUUCCAAUAUCUGCUUCACUUUUCAAGAAGAAAACAUUCUGUCUCUUAAUUCACCCUUUCAUUAUACUUCGCCACAAUUAUUUGGCACCUGAUCUAGACCAAACAUUUAUGCUCUACAUGUCUGAAAAGAUCAAGCAAUCUAAAAGUUUUAUGAAAACUCUACUUUUAUGUUAUAAAGAAGAGUGCCUUCUCCUAAUCUUGUAUGAAAAUAAAGUACUUGAGUUUCCUCCUUUUCAAGCUCUAUAUUAACUACUAGAGAGCAGAUAAUGACAUUCAUCUGCAAAAAAAAAAAAGGUGAUGUCCACCUCUUCCUGCACCCAUAGCCAAUACACUUCAGUGUGACUGAAGUUGGGGACAUAUAA